rnacentral:tRNA from 1 species
CUAUGGGUGGUGCAGUGGGUAGCACUUCUGCUUCACAGCAAGAAGGUCUUGGGUUCGAAUCCCGCCCUGGG